rnacentral:lncRNA from 8 species
AUGAUCACUCGGCUAAGUAUGCCUCUCCUUAAUGUCAAUAUGCCUUGUCCAUUGCUGUUCUGGUUAGUGUUUAUUGGCUUAUUUCACUGUAGAGCCUCUAGCCCUGCUCAUUAUACCUUAUCCAACCUUUCAGUUCCACCACCCACACAUGCUAUGACAUCUUCUGGUUUCAAUGAUGUUUCUAGAGACAAUAUCUCUCUCAUCACCACUCAACGCCUAGGUUUACCUCCACUGUAUUCACAUCCUAGCAUACCUUUGUCUGUACAUUAUACCUUGAAGCUAUUUUAUGGCCCCCAGAAACCUGCUCCUUUUACUCUCUAUUCCGGACGUCAUAGACGACCAAUUCUCAUAGCUUUUAGCCGUACCCUUAUCCUACUCCUCCUCUAUUCCUCUGGUGAUGUAGAGGUGAAUCCAGGCCCUGCAGUGCCUGACUCCACUCCUACUCCCCAGGCGCUCUCUUUUGAUGACUUCUGUAACCGUAAUAGCCUUGGUUUCAUGCAUGUUAACAUUAGAAGCCUCCUCCCUAAGUUUGUUUUAUUAACUGCUUUAGCACACUCUGCCAACCCGGAUGUCCUAGCUGUGUCUGAAUCCUGGCUUAGGAAGUCCACCGAAAACUCUGAAAUCUUCAUCCCUAACUACAACAUUUUCAUACAAGAUAGAACGGCCAAAGGGGGCGGUGUUGCAAUCUACUGCAGAGAUAACCUGCAGAGUUCUGUCCUACUAUCCAGGUCUGUACCCAAACAAUUUGACCUUCUACUUUUAAAAAUCCACCUCUCUAAAAACAAGUCUCUCACCGUUGCCGCCUGCUAUAGACCACCCUCUGCCCCCAGCUGUGCUCUGGACACCAUAUGUGAACUGAUUGCCCCCCAUCCAUAUUCAGAGCUCGUGCUGCUAGGUGACCUAAACUGGGACAUGCUUAACACCCCGGCCGUCCUACAAUCUAAGCUUGAUGCCCUCAAUCUCACACAAAUGAUCAAUGAACCUACCAGGUACCACCCCAAAGCCGUAAACACAGGCACCCUCAUAGAUAUCAUCCUAACCAAUUUGCCCUCUAAAUACACCUCUGCUGUUUUCAACCAGGAUCUCAGCGAUCACUGUCUCAUUGCCUGCAUCCGUAAUGGGUCAGCGGUCAAACGACCUCCACUCAUCACAGUCAAACGCUCCCUGAAACAUUUCAGCGAGCAAGCCUUUCUAAUCGACCUGGCCCGGGUAUCCUGGAAGGAUAUUGACCUCAUCCCGUCAGUAGAGGAUGCCUGGUUAUUUUUUUUUAAAAUGCCUUCCUCACCAUCUUAA